rnacentral:rRNA from 1 species
GGGUUGUGAGGUUAAGCGACUAAGCGUACACGGUGGAUGCCCUGGCAGUCAGAGGCGAUGAAGGACGUGCUAAUCUGCGAAAAGCGCCGGCGAGGUGAUAUGAACCUUUGACCCGGCGAUGUCCGAAUGGGGAAACCCAGUGUGUUCCGACACACUAUCGUUAACUGAAUACAUAGGUUAACGAGGCGAACCGGGGGAACUGAAACAUCUAAGUACCCCGAGGAAAAGAAAUCAACCGAGAUUCCCCCAGUAGCGGCGAGCGAACGGGGAGCAGCCCGGAGUCUGAAUCAGCUUGUGUGUUAGUGGAACGGUCUGGAAAGUCCGACGGUACAGGGUGAUAGUCCCGUACACGAAAACACACUUGCUGUGAACUCGAAGAGUAGGGCGGGACACGUGGUAUCCUGUCUGAAUAUGGGGGGACCAUCCUCCAAGGCUAAAUACUCCUGACUGACCGAUAGUGAACCAGUACCGUGAGGGAAAGGCGAAAAGAACCCCGGCGAGGGGAGUGAAAAAGAACCUGAAACCGUGUACGUACAAGCAGUGGGAGCCUCUUUAUGGGGUGACUGCGUACCUUUUGUAUAAUGGGUCAGCGACUUAUAUUCUGUAGCAAGGUUAACCGUAUAGGGGAGCCGAAGGGAAACCGAGUCUUAACUGGGCGUUAAGUUGCAGGGUAUAGACCCGAAACCCGGUGAUCUAGCCAUGGGCAGGUUGAAGGUUGGGUAACACUAACUGGAGGACCGAACCGACUAAUGUUGAAAAAUUAGCGGAUGACCUGUGGCUGGGGGUGAAAGGCCAAUCAAACCGGGAGAUAGCUGGUUCUCCCCGAAAGCUAUUUAGGUAGCGCCUCGUGAACUCAUCUUCGGGGGUAGAGCACUGUUUCGGCUAGGGGGCCAUCCCGGCUUACCAACCCGAUGCAAACUACGAAUACCGAAGAAUGUUAUCACGGGAGACACACGGCGGGUGCUAACGUCCGUCGUGAAGAGGGAAACAACCCAGACCGCCAGCUAAGGUCCCAAAGUCAUGGUUAAGUGGGAAACGAUGUGGGAAGGCACAGACAGCCAGGAUGUUGGCUUAGAAGCAGCCAUCAUUUAAAGAAAGCGUAAUAGCUCACUGGUCGAGUCGGCCUGCGCGGAAGAUGUAACGGGGCUAAACCAUGCACCGAAGCUGCGGCAGCGACACUAUGUGUUGUUGGGUAGGGGAGCGUUCUGUAAGCCGUUGAAGGUGUGCUGUGAGGCAUGCUGGAGGUAUCAGAAGUGCGAAUGCUGACAUAAGUAACGAUAAAGCGGGUGAAAAGCCCGCUCGCCGGAAGACCAAGGGUUCCUGUCCAACGUUAAUCGGGGCAGGGUGAGUCGACCCCUAAGGCGAGGCCGAAAGGCGUAGUCGAUGGGAAACAGGUUAAUAUUCCUGUACUUGGUGUUACUGCGAAGGGGGGACGGAGAAGGCUAUGUCAGCCGGGCGACGGUUGUCCCGGUUUAAGCAUGUAGGCGGA